rnacentral:rRNA from 1 species
UGGGGAAUAUUGGACAAUGGGCGAAAGCCUGAUCCAGCCAUGCCGCGUGUGUGAAGAAGGUCUUCGGAUUGUAAAGCACUUUAAGUUGGGAGGAAGGGCAGUAAGCGAAUACCUUGCUGUUUUGACGUUACCGACAGAAUAAGCACCGGCUAACUCUGUGCCAGCAGCCGCGGUAAUACAGAGGGUGCAAGCGGUAAUCGGAAUUACUGGGCGUAAAGCGCGCGUAGGUGGUUCGUUAAGUUGAAUGUGAAAGCCCCGGGCUCAACCUGGGAACUGCAUCCAAAACUGGCGAGCUAGAGUAGGGCAGAGGGUGGUGGAAUUUCCUGUGUAGCGGUGAAAUGCGUAGAUAUAGGAAGGAACACCAGUGGCGAAGGCGACCACCUGGGCUCAUACUGACACUGAGGUGCGAAAGCGUGGGGAGCAAACAGG